GCCCGGUUAGCUCAGAUGGUAGAGCAUCAGACUUUUAAUCUGAGGGUCAUGGGUUCGAGCCCCAUAUCGGGCU
rfam:Nematostella vectensis strain CH2 x CH6 NEMVEscaffold_231_Cont19841, whole genome shotgun sequence.